UACGUAGGGUGCGAGCGUUGUCCGGAAUUACUGGGCGUAAAGGGCUCGUAGGCGGCCAACUAAGUCAUACGUGAAAUCCCUCAGCUUAACUGGGGAACUGCGUGUGAUACUGGAUGGCUUGGAUUUGGGAGAGGGAUGCGGAAUUCCAGGUGUAGCGGUGAAAUGCGUAGAUAUCUGGAGGAACACCGGUGGCGAAGGCGGCAUCCUGGACCGACACUGACGCUGAGGAGCGAAAGCCAGGGGAGCAAACGGG
rnacentral:rRNA from 1 species